rnacentral:rRNA from 1 species
GACGAACGCUGGCGGCGUGCUUAACACAUGCAAGUCGUACGGUAAGGCCCUUUCGGGGGUACACGAGUGGCGAACGGGUGAGUAACACGUGAGUAACCUGCCCACAACUUUGGGAUAACGCUAGGAAACUGGUGCUAAUACUGGAUAUGUUCUCUUGCUGCAUGGUGGGGGUUGGAAAGCUCCGGCGGUUGUGGAUGGACUCGCGGCCUAUCAGCUUGUUGGUGGGGUAGUGGCCUACCAAGGCGGCGACGGGUAGCCGGCCUGAGAGGGUGACCGGCCACAUUGGGACCGAGAUACGGCCCAGACUCCUACGGGAGGCAGCAGUGGGGAAUAUUGCACAAGGGGCGCAAGCCUGAUGCAGCAACGCCGCGUGCGGGAUGACGGCCUUCGGGUUGUAAACCGCUUUCAGCAGGGACGAAGCUUUUUGUGACGGUACCUGCAGAAGAAGCACCGGCUAACUACGUG